GUGGGGAAUAUUGGGCAAUGGGCGCAAGCCUGACCCAGCAACGCCGCGUGAGGGAAGAAGGCUUUCGGGUUGUAAACCUCUGUCCUUGGUGACGAAGAAAGUGACGGUAGCCAAGGAGGAAGCCCCGGCUAACUACGUGCCAGCAGCCGCGGUAAUACGUAGGGGGCGAGCGUUGUCCGGAAUUACUGGGCGUAAAGGGUGCGUAGGUGGCCUUUUAAGUUGGAUGUGAAAUACCCGGGCUUAACUUGGGGGGUGCAUCUAAUACUGGGAGGCUAGAGUGCAGGAGAGGGAAGCGGAAUUCCUAGUGUAGCGGUGAAAUGCGUAGAUAUUAGGAGGAACACCAGUGGCGAAGGCGGCUUUCUGGACUGUAACUGACACUGAGGCACGAAAGCGUGGGGAGCAAACAGGAUUAGAUACCCCGGUAGUCC
rnacentral:rRNA from 1 species